rnacentral:rRNA from 1 species
CGCGUUGGGAGCUCUCCCAUAUGGUCGACCUGCAGGCGGCCGCGAAUUCACUAGUGAUUAGAGUUUGAGCAUGGGUCAGAUUGAACGCUGGCGGCAUGCCUAAUACAUGCAAGUCGAACGGCAGCACAGUAAAGAUUUCGGUCUUUAUGGGGUGGCUAGUGGCGGACGGGUGAGUAACACGUAGGAAUCUGUCCUGGAGCGUGGGAUAACCCGAGGAAACUCGGGCUAAUACCACAUGAUAUCGAGAGAUCAAAAGCAGGGGACCGAAAGGCCUUGCGCUCUGGGGUGAGCCUACGUCGGAUUAGCUAGUUGGUGGGGUAAAAGCCUACCAAGGCGACGAUCCGUAGCGGGUCUGAGAGGAUGAUCCGCCACACUGGGACUGAGACACGGCCCAGACUCCUACGGGAGGCAGCAGUGGGGAAUCUUGGACAAUGGGGGAAACCCUGAUCCA